GGAGAGUUAGAAUUAGAGAUGGCUGCAGGUCCAGCAAGGAAAACACGCUUGAACCGUGAAUAGGAAUUUUUACAUGCAAUUAAAGAUGAGCACAAGCUCAUGGUCCAAGAAGCUUCUGGGCCAGCAGCAAGCAACAACAGCGUUGUCCAGUAAAGCAAGGGGCUAUCACGGUCUUUAUUGGAAGCACACAGCAGACGNACAACAACUUCUUGGAUAUGUGCAGCCCAUUCGCAAAAGGAGGGUGCCUUCACUUUAAGUGUAGUAGCUUGAUCCAGAAGCAACACGUAGCAAGCAAAGUGCAACACAAAUGGACUUCAAUUAGUAGCAUCCAGCACACCA
rnacentral:lncRNA from 1 species